UGUGUGUCAACUGCACGUUGCCGUGUG
rnacentral:piRNA from 1 species